UUUGGAAGUUAAAAAUCGUAACAAGGUUUCCGUAGGUGAACCUUCGGAAGGAUCAUUACCAAACAAAAUAGUUCGGGCUGCGCCUUGCAACAACCGUCAGGCCAGGAGCCCCAGCUCCUGGAGGCGCAGCUGCCGGCAUCCUCUGUCUAUGAGUACCGUUUGUUCCCUCGGCGGGCGCAUACCCCGCCGAUGGGCCACCUGAAAACCCUUUUGACUGAAGCAUUAUACCUCUGAUCGUGGGCUUGAAUCGUUUACAACUUUCAACAACGGAUCUCUUGGUUCUGGCAUCGAUGAAGAACGCAGCGAAAUGCGAUAAGUAAUGUGAAUUGCAGAAUUCAGUGAAUCAUCGAAUCUUUGAACGCACAUUGCGCCCCUUGGUACUCCAUGGGGCAUGCCUGUUCGAGCGUCAUUUGACACCCUCAAGCACUGCUUGGUGUUGGGCACCUGUCCCGCGGCUCUGCGCGGGACUUGCCCCAAAGUCAUUGGCAGCUGUCCUGUCGGCCUCCAGCGCAGCACUGCGCGCUCGAGGGGCUUGUUUGCAGGCUCAGCGUCCACCAAGGCGUCCUUUUUUCUACAAUCUGACCUCGGAUCAGGUGGGGACACAG
rnacentral:rRNA from 1 species